rnacentral:rRNA from 1 species
CGUAGGGUGCGAGCGUUAAUCGGAAUUACUGGGCGUAAAGCGUGCGCAGGCGGUUUUGUAAGACAGAUGUGAAAUCCCCGGGCUCAACCUGGGACCUGCAUUUGUGACUGCAAGGCUAGAGUACGGUAGAGGGGGAUGGAAUUCCGCGUGUAGCAGUGAAAUGCGUAGAUAUGCGGAGGAACACCGAUGGCGAAGGCAAUCCCCUGGACCUGUACUGACGCUCAUGCACGAAAGCGUGGGGAGCAAACAGGAUUAGAUACCCUGGUAGUCCACGCCGUAAACGAUGCAUGCUCGCUGUCGGUCUCGCUACAGAGAUCGGUGGCUUAGCUAACGCGGUAAGCAUGCCGCCUGGGGAUUACGGCCGCAAGGUUA